rnacentral:rRNA from 1 species
UACAGAGGGGGCAAGCGUUGUUCGGAAUUACUGGGCGUAAAGGGCGCGUAGGCGGCCUGUUAAGUCGAACGUGAAAUCCCCGGGCUCAACCCGGGAACUGCGUCCGAUACUGGCUGGCUUGAAUCCGGGAGAGGGAUGUGGAAUUCCAGGUGUAGCGGUGAAAUGCGUAGAUAUCGGGAGGAACACCAAUGGCGAAGGCAGCUCGCUGGGACGGUACUGACGCUGAGACGCGAAAGCGUGGGGAGCAAACAGG